GGUUACUCCUAGCUCUGCACUAAGAAAUCACUCCUAAGGAACUGAGAGAACCAUAUGUGAUGCCAGGGAUCAAGCCCUAUUCAACCAUAGGUGAGGCCUCUCCUUCCAGAGAGCUUCAGGAGCAGAGAGAAGAAACAGCAGCUGCUUGUUCCUCCAGGGAGGGAAGAAGAUCUCUUUUAUGAUCCACACUUAAUUUUCUGCUCCUGACAUUGAACAUGAUAAAAAAAAAAAAAAAGACUUUGCUCCAUAGAGGAAUUGUGGGUGAAGAGUACUUGAGGAGCUAGCAGAAUGACCAAGGUACUGCUGUGGAAGAUGCUGAAUGGACGUGGGACAAGUUCAGGCAAAGACUGCUUUGCAGGGAUUAUCUGGAAGGGAAACAAUGUAAAAAGUAGGCUGUCUUUAAGAAAUCAAGGACUCCCCAAAAAGCAGCUGUUCUGAUAGUGGGCAGGGAUGAUUUAUACUUCAGCAGCUAGAAUAGCAAACACCAGAUCUCUUCCAUCUGGGCAAUGGAGAGUAAGAUGUUGGCCAGAGGAGCUGAGAUUUUCCACAGUUGGU